rnacentral:rRNA from 1 species
GAUGAACGCUGGUGGCGUGCCUAACACAUGCAAGUCGAGCGAUUCUCUUCGGAGAAGAGCGGCGGACGGGUGCGUAACGCGUGGGUAACCUGCCCUGUACACACGGAUAACAUACCGAAAGGUAUGCUAAUACGAGAUAACAUGCUUUUAUCGCAUGGUAGAAGUAUCAAAGCUUUUGCGGUACAGGAUGGACCCGCGUCUGAUUAGCUAGUUGGUGAGGUAACGGCUCACCAAGGCGACGAUCAGUAGCCGACCUGAGAGGGUGAUCGGCCACAUUGGAACUGAGACACGGUCCAAACUCCUACGGGAAGCAGCAGUGGGGAAUAUUGCACAAUGGGCGAAAGCCUGAUGCAGCAACGCCGCGUGAGCGAUGAAGGCCUUCGGGUCGUAAAGCUCUGUCCUCAAGGAAGAUAAUGACGGUACUUGAGGAGGAAGCCCCGGCUAACUACGUG